rnacentral:tRNA from 1 species
GCCGGUGUGGCGGAAUUGGUAGACGCGUCGGAUUCAAAAUCCGAUUCACGCAAGUGAGUGGGGGUUCGAUUCCCUCCACCGGUA